rnacentral:rRNA from 1 species
CAAUAGCGUAUAUUAAAGUUGUUGCAGUUAAAAGGCUCGUAGUUGGAUUUGUGGCUGUCACGGGCGGCCUAUCACUUAGUGUUAGUGCUUGCCUGUGUCGCCAUCCUUGGGUGGAGCCCGUGUGGCAUUAGGUUGUCGUGCGGGGGAUGCCCAUCGUUUACUGUGAGAAAAUUAGAGUGUUCAAAGCAGGCUUAUGCCGUUGAAUAUGUUAGCAUGGAAUAAUAAGAUAGGACCUCGGUACUAUUUUGUUGGUUUGCGCACCGAGGUAAUGAUUAAUAGGGACAGUUGGGGGUAUUCGUAUUUCAUUGUCAGAGGUGAAAUUCUUGGAUUUCUGAAAGACGAACUACUGCGAAAGCAUUUACCAAGGAUGUUUUCAUUAA